rnacentral:rRNA from 1 species
GAUGAACGCUGGCGGCGUGCCUAAUACAUGCAAGUCGAGCGAACGGACGAGACGCUUGCUUCUCUGAUGUUAGCGGCGGACGGGUGAGUAACACGUGGAUAACCCACCUAUGAGACUGAGAUAACUUCGGGAAACGGGAGCUAAUACCGGAUGAUAUUCUGAACCGCAUGGUUCGAAAGUGAGAGACGGUCUUGCUGUAACGUCUAGCUGGAUCCGCGCUGCUUUGGCUGGUUGGUAAGGUAACGGCUUACGAAGGCAACGAGGCCUAACCGAGCUGAGAGGGUGGUAGCCCGCAUUGGAACUUAGACGCGGUCCAGGCUCCUACGAGAGGCAGCAGUAUGGUAUCGUCCGCAGUAGGGGAGAGCAUGACAGAGCAACGCCGCGUGAGAGAUGGAGGUCUUGGGAGCGUAAAACUCUGUUAUUAGUGAAGAACAGAUUUGGAAGGAGCUGUGCAGAGCGUGACGGUACCGAAUCAGAAAGCCACGGCUAACUACGUG